rfam:Nomascus leucogenys chromosome 21, whole genome shotgun sequence.
GCCGGGUGUGAUGGCUCAUGCCUGUAAUCCCAGCACUUUGGGAGGCUGAGACAGGAGGAUCACUUAAGCCCAGGAGUUCAAAACCAGCCUGGGCAACAUAGCGAGACCCUGUCUCUA